GAUGAACGCUGGCGGCGUGCCUAAUACAUGCAAGUCGAGCGAACAGAUGAGGAGCUUGCUCCUCUGACGUUAGCGGCGGACGGGUGAGUAACACGUGGAUAACCUACCUAUAAGACUGGGAUAACUUCGGGAAACCGGAGCUAAUACCGGAUAAUAUAUUGAACCGCAUGGUUCAAUAGUGAAAGACGGUUUUGCUGUCACUUAUAGAUGGAUCCGCGCCGCAUUAGCUAGUUGGUAAGGUAACGGCUUACCAAGGCAACGAUGCGUAGCCGACCUGAGAGGGGGAUCGGCCACACUGGAACUGAGACACGGUCCAGACCCCUAGGGGAGGCACAAGGAGGGAAUCUUCCGCAAGGGGCGAAAGCCUGACGGAGCAACGGCGGGGGAGGGAUGAAGGGCUUCGGAUCGUAAAACUCUGUUAUUGGGGAAAAACAAAUGUGUAAGUAACUAUGCCCGUCUGGACGGUACCUAAUCAGAAAGCCACGGCUAACUACGU
rnacentral:rRNA from 1 species